UUUCCGUAGGUGAACCAGCGGAAGGAUCAUUAUUGAAUGAAACACUUCUGGCUUUAUGCUGUUGUGCUGGCCCUUUGGGCAAUGUGCACACGGCUCUGGUCACUUGUUUCUUCUGUUCCACCUGUGCACUGCCUGUAGACACGCUGUGUCUAUGAUAUUUGUUAACACACAACAAUGCUAGUUGGCAUGUUAUAUAUAAUAAUAAAAUAUACAACUUUCAACAACGGAUCUCUUGGCUCUC
rnacentral:misc_RNA from 1 species